rnacentral:rRNA from 1 species
CGCUGGCGGCGUGCCUAAUACAUGCAAGUCGAGCGAGCGGGACCAACAGAUUUACUUCGGUAAUGACGUUGGGAAAGCGAGCGGCGGAUGGGUGAGUAACACGUGGGGAACCUGCCCCUAAGUCUGGGAUACCAUUUGGAAACAGGUGCUAAUACCGGAUAAUAAAGCAGAUCGCAUGAUCAGCUUUUGAAAGGCGGCGUAAGCUGUCGCUAAGGGAUGGCCCCGCGGUGCAUUAGCUAGUUGGUAAGGUAACGGCUUACCAAGGCGACGAUGCAUAGCCGAGUUGAGAGACUGAUCGGCCACAUUGGGACUGAGACACGGCCCAAACUCCUACGGGAGGCAGCAGUAGGGAAUCUUCCACAAUGGACGCAAGUCUGAUGGAGCAACGCCGCGUGAGUGAAGAAGGUUUUCGGAUCGUAAAGCUCUGUUGUUGGUGAAGAAGGAUAGAGGUAGUAACUGGCCUUUAUUUGACGGUAAUCAACCAGAAAGUCACGGCUAACUACGUGCCAGCAGCCGCGGUAAUACGUAGGUGGCAAGCGUUGUCCGGAUUUAUUGGGCGUAAAGCGAGCGCAGGCGGAAAAAUAAGUCUAAUGUGAAAGCCCUCGGCUUAACCGAGGAACUGCAUCGGAAACUGUUUUUCUUGAGUGCAGAAGAGGAGAGUGGAACUCCAUGUGUAGCGGUGGAAUGCGUAGAUAUAUGGAAGAACACCAGUGGGGAAGGCGGCUCUCUGGUCUGCAACUGACGCUGAGGCUCGAAAGCAUGGGUAGCGAACAGG